GUUGAGCCCCGGUGGCGAAGUGCAUUAAAGCACUGAGCUGGAGAAGAAAGGACCCAGGUUCAAAUCCUGGGAGCGGAAUGAGCGGCUGCUGUUAGCUCCAGCUCCUGCCAACUGAGCAGUUCGAAAGCAUGCAAAUGUGAGUAGAUCAAUAGGUACCGCUCCGGCGGGAAGGUAAGGGCACUCCAUGCAGUUAUGCCGGCCACAUGACCUUGGAGGUGUCUAUGGACAAUGCCGGCUCUUUGGCUUAGAAAUGGAGAUGAGUACCAACCCCCAGAGUCAGACAUGACUGGACUUAACGUCAGGGAAAACAUUUACCUUUUUUAUCUUGGAGGGUAUUAUCUAAUAUCUACAAUGCUUUAAUAGCCUGUUUUCUAUGAUUUAGGCGGAUGCCUGAAUGACAGUGUCGAACUUGCAUUGAGUUUUAGAUUCAUUAGAAACCCUUUAGUUUUGUUGCAGUGAAUCCCAUCAAGACAGAAAGACAGAUCAAAACACUCAAAAUACAUAGCUUGGAUGGGAUAUAUGAUAUUCCAAGGAUGUUUAGAUCAACUUGUUAAGGGAAGCAUCCCUUCCAUCAAAUGAUGACACGGGGGAGAGAGGAUGGAAAAGAACUAUACACAAUGAAAAAAGACUUCUUCAAUGGCCCACUUACCAUCCUUGGGAGCCUGCUAAGCUGUUAUUUUCAAUGAGGGUGUGUUCAGAAUUUCGAGUGGGUUGCCGGCUGCAUUAUUCAAUAAACUAGGGUGCAUUUAUUGAAAGGUGCUCUCUAAAGAUUUAA